GCCAGUCAACAACACAGAAGCUCAUCUGUUGGGAAGUCGGGAGGGUAACUAAAAAGCGGAGCCAAGUAGCAAGCAAGAUACUUUUCUUUUUAGCACCCUUGUAAGUCAACUGUCCAUAGGAGAAAGGGACCGCAACUUGUUGAAAGUCGUUCAUUUUACUAUUGUUUAUCUUCUCCGUAGCUAAUGGUAACGCGGUUAUAUUUUAGGGACACUAUUUGGUCUCGCUGCACCACAGAACUAUAAGGUGGGUUGCUGCUGGCAGGCUUUCACAAGUAGCGUAACGUUUUCCUCGGCUGCUGUUAGCCCGCUAGCUGGCGAGAAGAGAGUGGGACAAGAAAAUGGAGUUGGACGAUGGAGUUCUUUACCAGGACGACUCUGGCAGUUCGGCGAUGAUGUCUGAACGGGUUUCGGGUCUGGCGAGCUCAAUUUACCGAGAGUUUGAACGGUUGAUAUGUCAGUACGACGAGGACGUUGUGAAAGAACUCAUGCCGCUCGUCGUCGCAGUGUUGGAGAACUUGGACGCAGUGUUCGCGGACAACCAGGAGCACGAAGUCGAGUUGGAGCUUCUGAAAGAGGAUAACGAACAACUUGUUACCCAGUAUGAACGGGAGAAAUCGCUCAGAAAAUCUACAGAAGAGAGGUACAUGGUGUUUGAGGACAGUCAGGACAUGGAGAAGAAGGACCUUCAGGGUCGACUGGUGAUGCUGGAGUCUCACACACGUCAAAUGGAGCUCAAGACCAGGAACUACUCAGACCAGAUCGGUAGAAUGGAGGAACGAGAAGCCGAGUUGAAGAAAGAGUACAAUGCCCUCCACCAGAGGCACACCGAGAUGAUCCACAGUUACAUGGAGCACUUGGAACGUACCAAACACCAGCAGGAGACACCCUCGGACACAAGCACAAGCAGAUCAAGGAAGGAACGUCCCAUCUCCAUGGGGUUAUUCCAGUUACCAGGAAGUGAUUUGACCCCUGACCCGCAGAGGGAAACUGUGGAAACGCCGUCUGAAUCCUGGAGAUAUAACGACCUGAGCCACCCUCACUCCAACACCAGCCUUAAGUUGGGGGCACCAGACUCCCCAAGCAGAUGGCAGAGGCAUUCAGCCAAUCAGCAGGCUGAACAGAACCAGGAUGAGAUGUCAAAUGCUAACCGUGGAGGCUCCAAGUCUAACCCACCUAUGUCUCCUAAAGGGGGCUCCAAGUCGGGGACCCCCAUGUCCAGCCAAGGAGGAGGCUCCAAAAUGUCCUCGCAACAAGGUGGCUCUAAAUCGGCUACCCUGAUGUCUUCUCAAGGAGAGUCCAAAUCCGGUACCCCUAUUUCAUCUCAAGGGGUGGACUCAAAGUCGGUUACCUCAAUGUCCACGCAAAGUGGCGGCUCCAAAUCUGUCACCCCAAUGUCCAGUCAAGGGGGCGGGUCUAUGUCGGCCACUCCCAUGUCUACUUCCGCAUCUGAUGUUGCCAUGGCAUCUGUGGGCACGCCCCACCAGGAAGAGUUAGAGGAAGUGUGCGAGGGUCUGAACAGGAACCUGGACAGAAGCGACAGGAAGCCAGAGAACAUCAGCAGUAAGAACACCACAGUACACGAGGGACAGGACUCCGAGCUGAGAGGAGCAGGAGUCAGAGGAGGGUCAGAACCUCUCACAGACGCAGCAGAUGAUAACACUGAGUCAUCAGAGGUGCAGUCCAUCAUAGAGUCCACUCCUGAACUGGACAUGGACCUCAGUGGCUACAAAGAUGCCAGUACUCCUUCUAAAGGAGUAGGUAUAGAAAACAUGGCGUUCGACAGGAACACAGAGUCUUUGUUUGCGGAGCUGUCCUCGGCAGGACCCGACAUGGAAGUAGACAUAGCAGACAUGGACGAGGGGGCCGACCUGCUCGGUAUGGGCCGUGAAGUAGAGCACCUCAUCCAUGAGAACACUCAGCUGCUGGAGACCAAAAAUGCGUUGAACGUGGUGAAGAAUGACCUGAUAGCGCGCGUAGAUGAGCUGUCGUGUGAGAAGGAGGCGCUGCAGGGAGAGCUAGAGGCUGUGACUCAGGCCAAGACCAGACUGGAGGAGAAAAACAAGGAGCUAGAGGAGGAACUCAGGAGGAUUCGGGUGGCAGAGAAAGACAAAGUGAAGACCAAGAGUGAGAACAGUGAGGAAGAUGCGGAUGUUCCCACGGCUCAGAGGAAGAGGUUUACCAGAGUAGAGAUGGCCAGAGUCCUGAUGGAGAGGAACCAGUACAAGGAGAGACUGAUGGAGCUACAGGAAGCUGUACGAUGGACAGAGAUGAUACGAGCGUCUAGAGAGAACCCUGCCGCCGCAGACAAGAAGAAAUCCAGCAUCUGGCAGUUGAGUUUCAGCCGGUUGUUCAGUUCAAGUGGCGGAGCAGCUAAGAAACCAGCGGAGGCGGCUCCAGUCAAUGUGAAGUACAACGCCCCCUCGUCCCAGGUCCAGCCCUCCGUGAAGAAGAAGAGUGCAGCGCUUCAACAGUUACCCAGUGACAAGAGCAAGGCCUUCGACUUCCUCAAUGAGGAGUCUGAGGCAGGCAACAUGGUGUCUCGUAGGGAGCAGAAGAGAGCCCAGUACAGACAGGUGAAAGCCCACGUUGAGAAGGAAGAGGACGGCCGGGUACAGGCCUACGGGUGGAGCCUGCCGCAGAAAUUCAAGGUGGCCAACGGUGGUCAGACGUCAGAGAACAAGAUGAAGAAUCUACCUGUUCCGGUCUACCUCCGACCACUGGAUGAGAAAGAUGCUACCAUGAAGCUGUGGUGUGCUGUCGGUGUGAACCUGUCAGGGGGUAAGACUCGUGACGGGGGGUCAAUAGUAGGAGCCAGUGUGUUCUACAGUGACCUGACCAGCCCUGGUCCUGAGAGCCGUCGCAGGAAGGUAGGAUCACAGAGCAGUCUGGACAAACUGGACCAGGACCUGAAGGAGCAGGAGAAGGAGCUGCAUCACCAGGAGGAGCUGUCCUCUCUGGUCUGGAUCUGUACCAGUACUCAGGCCACCACUAAGGUCAUCGUCAUCGACGCCAACCAGCCUGGGAACGUCCUGGAGAACUUCUUUGUCUGCAACUCCCACGUCCUCUGCAUGGCCAGCGUGCCAGGUGCCAGAGAGACCGACUACCCAGCAGGGGAGGAGGUACCCCAUAACCCGGAGGCGGGGUCGGGUGCUGAGGGCGGGACUCUCGAAGCCAGCACAACCAGUAGUGGCUCAGGGGGCGAAGCUGGAGUGCUGGCAGGGAUCAAUGUGGUUGGCUGCUCUACCGAGGGGGCGGUGGCUACCCCCCAGACAGCAAGCACAGAGAAUGAGACAGACGCAGACUCCAAGGCUGCAGAGGAGGCUACUGAAGCUACAGAGGCCAGUGCAGGUCCUGCAGGUCCGGAACAUGACUUAAGUCAGAGGGGAGUCUACACUGAACAUGUCUUCACUGACCCUCUGGGUGUUCAGAGUACUAGCCCUGGGAAGUCGCCAGCCAACUACACACAGAGGGAGUCUGAUCUGGUGAAGGAUGGUGUGAGCUCCAACCCUAACCCAGAGGAACAGGACCUGAUGAGAGAAGAAGCCCAGAAGAUGAGCAGUGUUUUACCCACCAUGUGGCUAGGGGCACAGAAUGGAUGUGUGUACGUGCACUCGUCAGUGGCCCAGUGGAGGAAGUGUCUCCACUCUAUAAAGCUGAAGGACUCUGUCCUGGGCAUCGUCCAUGUGAAGGGGAGAGUGUUGGUGUCUCUGGCUGAUGGAACACUGGCUAUCUUCCACAGAGGAGUGGAUGGUCAGUGGGAUCUGACCAACUACCACCUGUUAGACCUGGGCAGACCCCACCACUCUAUCCGCUGUAUGACUGUGGUUCACGACAAGGUCUGGUGUGGCUUCAGGAACAAGAUCUACGUGGUCCAGCCCAAAGCCAUGAAGAUAGAGAAGUCAUUUGAUGCCCACCCCCGUAAGGAGAGCCAGGUGAGACAGCUGGCAUGGGAUGGAGAUGGUAUCUGGGUGUCGAUCCGACUGGACUCUACUCUGAGACUGUUCCACGCCCACACACAUCAACACCUGCAGGACGUCGACAUAGAACCCUACGUCAGCAAGAUGCUGGGUACGGGGAAGCUGGGCUUCUCGUUUGUUAGGAUCACAGCUCUCAUGGUGUCCUGUAACCGUCUCUGGGUCGGCACCGGCAAUGGUGUUAUCAUCUCUAUACCUCUCACUGACACCAAUAAGGUGACGGCGGGGCCAGGUAAACCUGGUGGAGUGAUCCGUGUGUAUGGUGAUGAAAACAGUGACAAGGUGACAGCUGGAACCUCUGUACCCUUCUGCUCCAUGGCUCACGCUCAGCUCUGUUUCCAUGGUCACCGAGAUGCCGUCAAGUUCUUCACGGCUGUCCCAGGUCAGGUGAUCCCGUCAGGUGCUGGCGGAGCAGCAGAGGUGGGGAGUGACAAGGGGGUAGAGGAGCACCCUCAACAACAGCAGGAAAGGUCUGUUCUAGUGAUGAGUGGUGGAGAGGGAUACAUCGACUUCAGGAUGGGUGACGAGGCUGGGGAGACUGAGGAGCCACUGGAUGAGCACACUCUGAAGCUGCAGCCGUUCCUGGCUAAAGCUGAGAGGAGUCACCUGAUCGUCUGGCAGGUCAUGGGCAGUCAGGCCUGAACUUUUAACCCUUGAUCUCUAACCCUGCCACAGAGAUGAAGAAUGGGAGGAGCCUGCUCGAAGCAGGAACAAAGCUGGCCAAUCAGAUUCACUCUUCUGCAUGUUUCUUUUUGUUUUACGGUUAUUUUUUAUUUAAUUUGUAAUUUUACUGAUUGUAUUGAAUUUUAAAUCUGAUACAAGCCUGUUGCUCUUUUAUUAUUAUUAUUAUUAUUAUUAUUAUUAUUACUACUACUACUACUAUUAUUGAAAACAAAAUCAUUUCUGUUUAUUUAAUUUGUCAUGUUUUGCACUUGGUUUUAUAUUGUAUGCCUAGUGUCCAACCCCUCUGUACAAAUACUGCGUGGUGAUUGGUGGGAAUCGAUGUAGGUUCAGGGUGUGUCUUUGGCCACACCCCUGUCCUCAUCUUUGCUUCCUUUCAGUAAAGGACCGAUUGGACAGAGGAGACAAUACUGUAUGAAACUGUACGAGACACCUGCACACAGGAGAAUAAUGAUGUUGGUGUUUGAACUGCAAAACCAAAUCAACCGCAUGAUGUCCAAUAAGAAAGCAAGUAUUACAGAACGAUCCAGCGAUGGAGCCAAUCCUGUGUGUCCUAAAUGAUACAGGUGUGCUCUUCUUGCAUGAUCAUUUUUAUUUUAUUUUGUGAGAACAUGGAUGUUGAUUGUACGCAAUACAGUUUAAUCAAUUGUCAGUUUUCUGGACUUGGGAUCAGUGUUGUUCUCCAUGACUAUGGUCUAUGGAAAACCUGAUAGAUCGCAGAUCAAUCAUGUCUGUAGCUGCAGGGUCAGAAAAUCGCCCUAUUCCAAUAACUAAAAAUGCAUCCACUCUUCCUAGGGGUAAUUACAACUGGGUUGGAUUGAUGAUUGAGACACAUUAGUAGUUAAUUACAGGGUUGCACUUUAAGUGUGUUGGAACAGGGUCUCUGACUUUAGUUUCUGGGCCGCUGCUCUCCCAUCCUGCUCUCCCAUCUUCCUUCCCAUCAGCUAGAGCUUGCAGACAUUUUACAAAAAUCAACUGUUGCCUUAGGUUUGAAAGUAAAAGAAAGGAAAUGUUUAAAACUACAUUAUGGACUUUUGAAGUGUGACUGAUUAUGUAUACCUAUGUGAAAGAAUGUUACCAAAGGAAAACUAAUUUCAGUUGAUCAGAAUAAAGUAAAUGUACAGCGUUGUAGCAGCAUUUUCAACCCGUCUCUCUGUAGAUACAAUAACAUUUUGACAGACCGUCUUUGUUAUAAGGUUCAUGGUGUAUGGAUAGAUAAAUAUAUUUUUAAGCCAUCAUCUCUGCAAAUGCAGAGAUGUGAUUGUGUAUAAUAGCUGGUUUCUCUGCUUUUGGAGUCUUUUGUAUGCUGAGAGUAGAUGUUACCCAUAGGCACAGAUCUAGGAUCAAUUUACCCUCCGCAAAUCCCAACGUGAACAAUUAGGGGAGGAACUACUCAACACUGACAUUAGAUGAGCGUCUAGGGGCAACGUCUUCCUUUUGUACACUGGGGACAGGGUGACUGAUCUCUGACCAAACAGGAUCCCUCCUGAUAGGUUGAUAUGAUACUGAAGCCUAUUUGUAUUAUUGACUUUUUGUAUGUUUGUCUUUUCGACCCUAAUCUGUGGUUGCGUCUAGAUGGGGAGUGAGGUGUCAUUUAAUCUGUGGUUGCGUCUAGAUGGGGAGUAAGGUGUCAUUUAAUCUGUGGUUGCGUCUAGAUGGGGAGUAAGGUGACAUUUAAUCUGUGGUUGCGUCUAGAUGCGGAGUAAGGUGUCAUUGAAUCUGUGGUUGCGUCUAGAUGGGGAGUAAGGUGUCAUUUAAUCUGUGGUUGCGUCUAGAUGCGGAGUAAGGUGUCAUUUAAUCUGUGGUUGCGUCUAGAUGCGGUGUAAGGUGUCAUUUGACACACUCGGCCGGUGUCUCUGGUCUGUGUACCAGCAGAUUGUGCUGGUGAGUUUUACUACGGUGUCUGUCCUGAGGAGUGAACGAGGGCGUGUGUGUGUGUGUGUGUGUGUGUGUGUGUGUGUGUGUGUGUGUGUGUGUGUGUGUGUGUGUGUGUGUGUGCCUUUGUGCCGGUCUGUGUGUGUCUGUCUGUCUGCUCUCCAGGAGAAGAGAUGCUUCAUAUCGCAGUUUAGCCAUUUCAGUAUUUAUUUCUAUGAAAGAGUCUUUGCGGUUCAGAAUGUAACUUUGUACAAUAUGAAUAUAACUAUAUGAAUAUAAAUUGUAUAUGAAACAUUGAAAUGGCUUGGUUUUAUUGUUUUGACAAUGAUUGUAAUUGGAAUGGUUGAAUUAGAGAGAGACUACUGCGCUAUACACUACCCUGCUUGUACAAAACAUUAAAAACACCUUCCUAAUA